GCGGGGUUAGCUCAGCUGGGAGAGCGUCAGACUGAAGUCCAACUUCAGGCCUAGAAAGGUCACUUUCAAAGCAUCUUAAAUCUGAAGGCCGUGCGUUCGAUCCGCACACACCGCA